rnacentral:rRNA from 1 species
UACGUAGGGCGCAAGCGUUUAUCCGGAAUUAUUGGGCGUAAAGAGCUCGUAGGCGGUUUGUCGCGUCUGCUGUGAAAACGCGAGGCUCAACCUCGCGCCUGCAGUGGGUACGGGCAGACUAGAGUGCGGUAGGGGAGAUUGGAAUUCCUGGUGUAGCGGUGGAAUGCGCAGAUAUCAGGAGGAACACCGAUGGCGAAGGCAGAUCUCUGGGCCGUAACUGACGCUGAGGAGCGAAAGCGUGGGGAGCGAACAGG